CCCCAUUGUCCACUAAGUGGGAAAAGUAUAUAUCCUCUUUUUGCUCAUAAACCGUGAGUACAUUAUUUUUACAAACCAGCAACAUUUCAUCUUUGUCUAAUUCACUUUGGGGGUUACCUAAAAAUGUUAAGAAACAUUUCACUUUGGGGAAAUUUCCUUUGGAGCAAGGAAACGUUGGCAGCAAUUAAAUCCAAUUGGUAUACUCCACUUUAAGGAAGUUGUCCAUGGCUUUGAAGAUGAAUCUUGAAGGUCUCGGCCAGCUAUGGUUGUUGUGGAAAAUAUUUUGUUGCUUGCUUUGAUUAAGUUCCAAGUGAUUUGCAAGUUCAAGGAGAUGAUAGCAACAUCGGAUAUUGAAUUGAGGAAGAAGAAAUUGUGAAAUUGGAGCAAUUGAGUGUAGAAAUUCCUCCGAGAAAAUUUAGGCUAAAAGAGCGACGAGACGAACAGGUUACGAAUAAUCGCCGACGGGUACAGAUGCUCACGUUGGUAACCCGCCAGCUUAGGAGUCCUAUGCAGCUAUCUUGGAGAGCUCCCUUGUUCCGGAGCCUAGAUUUUGGUACAAAAUCUCUUGUGGUGUAUAUGUAUUUUAUCCAGGGGUACGGCGGGGCCCUGUCCCGUCAUAUGAUACUUUUGUUACUCUUAGAGGUCUGUAGACAUAUGUGUGGGUUGUGUAUCGAUGUUGUUCAGUUGUGUCUAUAUGGCUUAUGUUUUGGGACGUUCCCAUUCGUAGUGGCAGCCUUGUUGGCUUGCAUAGACAUAUAUAUAUAUAUAUAUAUAUAUAUAUUUUAAGAAGUAAUGUGUUAUGAUAUCCUUGUCGG